rnacentral:lncRNA from 1 species
AGCUGGCAACUUUAUUUUGUUACUUCUUUUAAUAGGGGGUUUCACUAUGUACCCAGAUGAGAUCCCCCUGCCUCAGUCUCCUGAGUAGCUUGGGUUGCUGGUGUGCUGCACCAUUCUCAAGAGACUGGCAGUUUUCAUCUAAAGUCAAUGAAACGGACACAUUUGGUCCCAGAGAGGAUGAUGAAAUCCAGUUUGAUGAUGUCGGAGAUGAUGAUGAAGACAUUGAUGAUAUCUAAGCUGAACCCAAUGUGUUAUAUCCCGAGUAUUCUCAGGGUCGUUCUACAUUCGGGAUCUUGGUCGUCAGCUGUUAAGAGUAAGACUUCAUUUAGCUUGCCAAGGAAAGCAGAUUGGUUUGUUUGCAUUUUAAAAAGUAUUUGUUAUAUUUCUUUGAAGACUGAAGAUGUUGUGUUAACUGACAUGUGAAAACAUAGAUGUAAUGCUACCAUGUGCACUGAUAAACCAAUACUUCAUUUCUAGUAAACGAAUGCCAUCACUCAG